UGUAUCGGAACGUGCCUAGUAGCGGGGGAUAACUACGCGAAAGCGUAGCUAAUACCGCAUACGCCCUACGGGGGAAAGCAGGGAGUCGCAAGACCUUGCACUAUUAGAGCGGCCGAUAUCGGAUUAGCUAGUUGGUGGGGUAACGGCUCACCAAGGCGACGAUCCGUAGCUGGUUUGAGAGGACGACCAGCCACACUGGGACUGAGACACGGCCCAGACUCCUACGGGAGGCAGCAGUGGGGAAUUUUGGACAAUGGGGGAAACCCUGAUCCAGCCAUCCCGUGUGUGCGAUGAAGGCCU
rnacentral:rRNA from 1 species